UGGGAAAUAUUGCACAAUGGGGGAACCCGUAGCAUGCAGCAACGCCGCGUGAAGGAUGAAGGUUUUCGGAUCGUAAACUUCUAUCAACAGGGACGAAAACAAAUGACGGUACCUGAAUAAGAAGCCCCGGCUAACUACGUGCCAGCAGCCGCGGUAAUACGUAGGGGGCAAGCGUUAUCCGGAUUUACUGGGUGUAAAGGGAGCGUAGACGGAGCAGCAAGUCUGAUGUGAAAGGCAGGGGCUCAACCCCUGGACUGCAUUGGAAACUGUUGAUCUUGAGUACCGGAGGGGUAAGCGGAAUUCCUAGUGUAGCGGUGAAAUGCGUAGAUAUUAGGAGGAACACCAGUGGCGAAGGCGGCUUACUGGACGGUAACUGACGUUGAGGCUCGAAAGCGUGGGGAGCAAACAGGAUUAGAUACCC
rnacentral:rRNA from 1 species